rnacentral:rRNA from 1 species
AUUGAACGCUGGCGGCAGGCCUAACACAUGCAAGUCGAACGGUAACAGGAAGCAGCUUGCUGCUUUGCUGACGAGUGGCGGACGGGUGAGUAAUGUCUGGGAAACUGCCUGAUGGAGGGGGAUAACUACUGGAAACGGUAGCUAAUACCGCAUAACGUCGCAAGACCAAAGAGGGGGACCUUAGGGCCUCUUGCCAUCGGAUGUGCCCAGAUGGGAUUAGCUAGUAGGUGGGGUAACGGCUCACCUAGGCGACGAUCCCUAGCUGGUCUGAGAGGAUGACCAGCCACACUGGAACUGAGACACGGUCCAGACUCCUACGGGAGGCAGCAGUGGGGAAUAUUGCACAAUGGGCGCAAGCCUGAUGCAGCCAUGCCGCGUGUAUGAAGAAGGCCUUCGGGUUGUAAAGUACUUUCAGCGGGGAGGAAGGGAGUAAAGUUAAUACCUUUGCUCAUUGACGUUACCCGCAGAAGAAGCACCGGCUAACUCCGCG